rnacentral:rRNA from 1 species
AUGCGCUAUCUUGGCCUUCCUCUGUCUGUUAAGCGUCUCAAGAGAAUCCAUUUCCAGCAUCUUGAAGAUAAGAUCGCGGGCAAGCUCCCUUCUUGGCAAGGGAGACAUGUGGCUGCUGCAGGCCGAACGGUUCUUGUCAAGGCUGUUCUAACGGCCAUCGCAAUAUAUCAUCUCACUCCUCUUGACAUACCGGUGGAGGUCCUUCAGAAAAUUGAUAGCAUCCGCCAUGCAUAUCUUUGGGCGGGCACGGACAAGGUUUCUGGAGGGAAAUGCAAGGUAAACUGGGACCUCGCUUGCAAA